AGGGGCUUCAGCCGUUUCCCGAGGAAUGGCUAUUUCUGAUUUCCCUGAGGUCUAAGGACAGCUGAGAAGAGGCAGAAGCUGGCUGGUUAAGGACACGUCUUCUAGGUCAUUAUGGAGUCAUUGAAAGAGGACAGUCUGGAGUCUGUGGAGCCUAUGGAACCACGAGGAGCUUCACUUACAGGCAAAACAGUCCCAGGAGACAGGGAACACUGCGAUGAUGGGGAACCACGAUGCCCUGACUGAGGAGGAAGACAGAUACAGGAAUUUCAGAAGAAUUAGCCCCAGACAAACAAAAGGUGGGCCUGGAAGGGGUAGGCAUUCAGGACAAUGGUUUCCAUAUUUCCUGUUAAUUUUUUUUUUCCAGAAGAGAUGAAAUUCAGCAGUGACCUUGAAUGAUGGAGGUUGGGUUUGUCUGUUUAGAAAUGGGAACAAGAUGAAGGACGUUACACAGAGGAGAGCUCGGAUGCAAUGGCCUUCAUUGAGAUGCUGUCUCCCCUGGAGGAAGACCUUAGGGCCCUUCCCAGAGUAGAGGAGGUAUGGUUAAAAAAAGAAAGAAAAGAAAAAUGCAUCUUUGUACCCAACAGUCAUGUUCACCACUGCAGGCGUGGGUAGACAUUGUGUACAUUCACCAUGGACACAUCUGGAGCUGAGCGACCGUGAAUGUUCCCGUUCACACAACAGCGGAUUGCAAACAGAAAGCUUUGCAUUGUGGUGGAGAGCAAAGGGCAUUGUGUGAGCAUCUUGCUCAGGGUUCCAUAUUCACCUGUGUUUGCACCUGGCCUGCUAAAAAAGGGACUAUGGAAGGCAACCUCGAGCCAGGACUCACUGCUUUGUGCAAAAGGGUAGUACAACCCAGUGCCUCCUGUGGCUUAGAUACUGGCUGAACUUAUUAUACAAGGUUAU
rnacentral:lncRNA from 1 species